GACGAACGCUGGCGGCGUGCUUAACACAUGCAAGUCGAACGGAAGGGCGCUGCGUUUGUGGGGUGCUCGAGUGGCGAACGGGUGAGUAAAACGUGAGUAUAAUGUCCUUGUCUUAGGGAUAACUUCAGGGGACUGGGGCGAAUAUCGGGUAGGAUCUCUUGCAGCAUGGUGGGGGUUGGUAAGUGUCGGCGGUUGGGGAUGGACUCGCGGCUUAUGAGCUUGUUGGUGGGGUAGUGGCGUACCACGGCUUUGACGGGUAGGCGGCCUUAGAGGGUGACCGGGCACAUGGGUACUGAGAUACGGACCAGACGCCUACGGGAGGCAGCAGGGGGGAGUAUUGCAGAAUGGGGGGAAGCCUGAUGUAGCAACGUCGCGUGCGGGAUGAUGGCCUUCGGGGUGUAAACCGAUUUCGCCGGUGACGAAGAGUGAUUGACGGUAAUGGGUAAAGAAGCACCGGCUAACUACGUG
rnacentral:rRNA from 1 species